UACGGGGGGGGCAAGCGUUGUUCGGAAUUACUGGGCGUAAAGGGCUCGUAGGCGGCCAACUAAGUCAGACGUGAAAUCCCUCGGCUUAACCGGGGAACUGCAUCUGAUACUGGAUGGCUUGAGGUUGGGAGAGGGAUGCGGAAUUCCAGGUGUAGCGGUGAAAUGCGUAGAUAUCUGGAGGAACACCGGUGGCGAAGGCGGCAUCCUGGACCGGUAUUGACGCUGAUGCGCGAAAGCCAGGGGAGCAAACGGG
rnacentral:rRNA from 1 species